CCUACGGGGGGCAGCAGUGGGGAAUUUUGGACAAUGGGCGCAAGCCUGAUCCAGCUAUUCCGCGUGUGGGAUGACGGCCCUCGGGUUGUAAACCACCUUAGUAGAGAACGAAAAGGAGCUAUCGAAUAAAUAGCUCUGCUGACGGUACUCUAAGAAUAAGCACCGGCUAACUACGUGCCAGCAGCCGCGGUAAUACGUAGGAUGCGAGCGUUAUCCGGAUUUAUUGGGUUUAAAGGGUGCGUAGGCGGUAUUUUAAGUCAGCGGUAAAAUGUCCGGGCUCAACCCGGGCCGGCCGUUGAAACUGGGGGUCUUGAGUGGGCGAGAAGUAUGCGGAAUGCGUGGUGUAGCGGUGAAAUGCAUAGAUAUCACGCAGAACUCCGAUUGCGAAGGCAGCAUACCGGCGCCCGACUGACGCUGAGGCACGAAAGCGUGGGGAUCGAACAGGAUUAGAUACCCUGGUAGUC
rnacentral:rRNA from 1 species